rnacentral:rRNA from 1 species
ACUCCUACGGGAGGCAGCAGUAGGGAAUCUUGGUCAAUGGGCGAAAGCCUGAACCAGCGAUGCCGCGUGUGUGAAGAAGGCCUUAGGGUUGUAAAGCACUUUCAGCAGUGAAGAAACCCCGGUGGUUAAUACCUGCCGGAUUUGACGUUAACUGCAGAAGAAGCACCGGCUAACUCCGUGCCAGCAGCCGCGGUAAUACGGAGGGUGCGAACGUUAAUCGGAAUUACUGGGCGUAAAGCGUGCGCAGGCGGUCUGUUAAGCGAGAUGUGAAAGCCCCGGGCUCAACCUGGGAACUGCAUUUCGAACUGGCAGACUAGAGUCUUGUAGAGGGGGUAGAAUUCCAGGUGUAGCGGUGAAAUGCGUAGAGAUCUGGAGGAAUACCGGUGGCGAAGGCGGCCCCUCGGACAAAGACUGACGCUCAGGCACGAAAGCGUGGGGAGCAAACAGGAUUAGAUACCCUGGUAGGCUCUGCU